CUGAAAAUAACUGGUUUUCAGUUUCACUUGCACGCAGGCACCUUUACUGAGAUACCACUAGAUAAAAUCUAUGACAAACAACAGCGUCCAUCAGUAAAUAAAGGCACUUUCUGAAGAGUUUGAUCUGGCUUUUGUGCAAGAGUGACGAGAAGAAAGCCAUUUCUUAUUUGGGUAAAGUCAGAAAAAAAUUUGUCUGCAGUCCACAGACAGACUGAAGGGACAAAGCAAGGAUGAUGAAGAAGCCAGGAUGACGAUGGAACUUUCUGCUCUACCAGCACGAAUCCUUAAUUCUGACACAACAUGGCGGAGGCAGACGAGUGCAGCGGGACUGCUUUUCGUCACCGGGGCAAACCUGAAGGAAAGCUGCUAGAGGCUCAACUUGAGACUGAAUGGAGGUUCAUCUGUCAGCAGGACAACUAAACAUGCAGCCAGAGCUACAGCUAAGAAUCUGGGGCAAGACUUAAUCUUUCAUUUUGAUAAAGGCUCUUCAUUUGAUCUGACUGAGCUUGAGCUAUUUGGAAAGAGGCGUUCAGGCAGGACAGGACUGGUGCAAGACUGGUUGACAGUCAGUCACCGAGACCGCUGCAGAGUGAGUGACAUGUUCUCAGGAGAUGAACAAGUCAACUGGAUUGUGACCUGAUCAUGACACUCAUAUUUUCAUUGCAUGAGAUACAGCCACACCUAACAAUGGGCAACAAUCAGAGGCAGAGGAGAGAGAGAGAGAGAGAGAGAGAGAGAAAAAGAUUUAUCUUGUAUAAGUUACUGUUACACUUACAUGUAGUUAAUUUGUAGUUUGAUUUACAGCCAAGCCUGUUUGGCUUGUCAUUGUUUUUAAUCUUGUGGAUUAAGGAAGUCUGCUUCUUGAGCAUGAAAUGACUACGGUCGGCUGAGAACUACAAAACCUGCCGCUGUGCAGAACGAACCCCCAUCACUGGGCUUUCGUUCCCUUUCAUCACCGCUUCAGCUUUGCAGGUGUCCUGGAGACGACUCAAGUUUCAGUGCGUGUUCAUCCAAGAGCUGUUAGACGUGGGGUUUUUGUUUUGUUAUUUCAUUCAGAGAUCGACUUCCACUACUGAUCUGAAAAGCCGUGAGAUGGAGAUGAUUUGUAUCAAAUGUUU